CGGGGCCUUGCUCCAGCUCAGCAGAGCGCGCCAAGGCACAGCCACUGAGCAGGGUCUUGCACCUGCACCAGACACCUUCCCAUUUGAUUCCUUCCAACGUAAACCUCCUUAUCACCCUGAGCUCCCCCUUUCUGAAGCAGUCAUGGCUGUGGCAAAGAAUGUCAGGGACCUCCAGGGAGCUGUUUCCCUCAAUUUGGACCUUAGGUCAUCUCCCCAAAGUACCAAGAACCUGCAGAACAAGGACUCCGGUUUCUUGGAUGUAAACUCUUCAGAAUCCACGGAUUUGGACAAGACCAAGGGCAUAACGUGAGUGCU
rnacentral:lncRNA from 1 species